rnacentral:lncRNA from 1 species
CUCUUCUCUGCUGCCGUCUGAGGUGCGCGUUUCACCUUCCGCCGUGAUUGUGAGGCCUCCCCAGCCACGUGGAACUGUGAGUCCAUUAAACCUCUUUCUUUUGUAAAUUGCCCCGUCUGAGGUAUGUCUUUAUGAGCAGCGUGAAAAUGGACUGACACGCAGACUCUCUGCAGAGUCCCGAGACGGCACGGAGGAUCACACGGGGAGGGGUCGAGUGUGCUAACUCAGGUCUCUCUUCCUCUUCUAAUAAAUCCACCCGUCCCGCUCCUGCGCUAACCCAUUAAUCCAUUAAUCUGUGAAUGGAUUCAUCUAUUCACGAGGGCACUGCCCUCCUGACCCGAUCACCUCUUAAAGGCCAACUCUCAAUCCUGCCACACUGGGAAUUAAGUUUCAACAUGAGUUUCGGAGGAGAUAAACAUUCAAAUCAUAGCCGAAAUCCAAAGAGAUUUGAGGAGCAGAAGUUGAUUCAAAGGUUAGCAAAGGCCCAUAUUGAUUGUUUCAGAGAAUAAUCAAUCAGAAAGUUAAGCAACGCAUCGCCAGAGCUGUGAGGAACAGACGAAGAAUUUCAAAAAGGCUUUAGGAUGAUAAAGACGCCUGGGCAGCUUUCUAAUGCUGUAUGCAAUGCCGUCCUGCAAACGUGUUUGGAUCUGCCUGCCGUCAAGACUCACCACUUCCCACCUGUACACUGCUGUCUGUCCUCAUUUCAAGUGAAUCACCUUGCGGUCUUCUUAUGCCAGGUUCAGAGCUCAUGCCAGACGCUGUGGAAGGAUUGUUUUUUGACUCUCUAAUACUGUGGAAGAAAAAGAGAUCUUCCAGAUAUCAGAGUUCUCCUGACAGCUGAAGAAGUGAUGGAUGAGCUGGGGUCUCAAUUCAUCAGAACAUCAAGCAGGAAGAGCAGCCCUCCAACCCCCCACCAGUUCAGAAAUGGAGACAUCGAGGAGUCCUGAGCACAGGCAGGAGAGACUAUGAAGUUAUCGUAGACUCGAUGUCCACAAGUGCCGAUAUGCAAAAUGUUACCCUUGGAGGAAACAGAAUGACGAGUACGUGGGACUUCUCUGUACUUUUUUUCUUCAAUUUCCUAUAAACAGAAUUAUUUCAAAAUAAA